rnacentral:rRNA from 1 species
UGGAGUCAUGUGUUAAUUCGAAGCAACGCGAAGAACCUUACCAGGUCUUGACAUCCGAUGCUAUUUCUAGAGAUAGAAAGUUACUUCGGUACAUCGGUGACAGGUGGUGCAUGGUUGUCGUCAGCUCGUGUCGUGAGAUGUUGGGUUAGGUCCCGCAACGAGCGCAACCCCUGUCGUAUGUUGCCAGCAUUAAGUUGGGGACUCAUACGAGACUGCCGGCGUCAAGCCGGAGGAAGGUGGGGAUGACGUCAAGUCAUCAUGCCCCUUAUGUCUUGGGCUGCACACGUGCUACAAUGGCCGAUACAACGGGUUGCGAUACCGCGAGGUGGAGCGAAUCCCUUAAAGUCGGCCCCAGUUCGGAUCGGAGGCUGCAACUCGCCUCCGUGAAGUCGGAGUUGCUAGUAAUCGCGGAUCAGCAUGCCGCGGUGAAUACGUUCCCGGGCCUU